AUUGAACGCUGGCGGCAGGCCUAACACAUGCAAGUCGAGCGAGCGGCGGACGGGUGAGUAAUGUAUGGGGACUGCCCGAUAGAGGGGGAUAACUACUGGAAACGGUAGCUAAUACCGCAUACUAUCGGAUAACCCAUAUGGGAGUAGCUAGUAGGUGAGGUAAUGGCUCACCUAGGCGACGAUCCCUAGCGGGUCUGAGAGGAUGAUCAGCCACACUGGGACUGAGACACGGCCCAGACUCCUGCGGAGGCAGCGGUGGGGAAUAUUGCACAAUGGGCGGAGGCCUGAUGCAGCCAUGCCGCGUGGAUGAAGAAGUCCGUAGGGUUGUAAAGUACGUUCAGUCGGAAGGCGUUACCGACACAAGAAGCACCGGCUGACUCCGUGCCAGCAGCCGCGGUAAUUC
rnacentral:rRNA from 1 species